UGUCUUCUUAAAGGGAGGGGCUUGGACGGGGUAUUCAGUGUGGUUUUAACAUUGAGUGUAGAGGAGGAUCAACUGCAGACUGGAUCCCCUUCCUCUUCUUUCAGCUAAACUCCAGAGGUCUACUUUUGUCCCGUUAGGAUUCACAGGGCACCAUCAUGGAGGAUUUGGACUUUGAGCGGCGCCGGGAGCUGAGGAGGCAAAAGCGGGAGGAGAUGCGCUUGGAGGCGGAACGCAUGCUCAGGAACGAUGACGACGAGGAGGAGGCUGCCCGCGAGAGGAGGCGCAGGGCACGCCAGGAGAGGCUGAGGAGCAGGGAGAGCGAGGAGCCAAGCAGCCAGCCAGACAGCAGCGUCCUGACCAACAGCCACAGCGUGACAGAAUCCAUCUCUGUGAGCAGCUCCUAUGGAUAUGGCGGGGAGGAUGAGGACCAGGCCUUGCAGGAGCGCAUGGCCAAGCGAGAGGAGAGACGGCAGAGGCGCAUGAAGGAGGCGCUGGAGAGGCAGAGGCAGCUGGACCCAACCGCCGCGGACGCCGGCGACGGCGUCGGCCUGGAGAAAAACAGCACAGAGGAGGAGAGGCACACGCGCGGCCGGCGUUACCGUGACACCGUGGAGGAGGAAGAGAAGACUGAAAGCAUCAGCUCGAGGCGGGAGGAAAAAGAACCAGAGGAACCUAGAGAGGAGGAAGAGGAAGCUGCUCCUGAGAGAGAGGAAGAGGAGGAGCAGAGGGAUGAAGCUGUAGAAACCAAACCAAGACUGUCUUACAUGAGAGAACAGGCAUCAACAGAGGAGACUGUAAUGCAACACAAGGUGGACGAGAGGGAAGACUCUGAGGAGGAUCAGAGGAAGCAUAACGGAGGGCUGCAUGACGAGGCAGCUCCCAGACAGCACAAGAAACCUGAGAGGACCCUCAGCCGCAGCAGUGUCCGUUCCCCCGAGGUGUCCGCUGGCGACGAGCUGGAUGACGACGCCCGCCUGGAGGCAGAGCGCAAGCUGGAGGAGCUGAAGCGCCGGCGUGAUGACGCAGAGAGCGAGGAGUUCGAGAGGAUGAGGCAGAAGCAGCAGGAGGCCGAAGCUGAGCUGGAGGAGCUGAAAAGGAAGCGGGAGGAGAGGAGGAAGGUGCUGGAGGAGGAGGAGAGGCAGCGGAAGCAGGAGGAGGCGGAACGGAAAGCCAGAGAGGAGGAGGAGAAGAGGAAGAUGAAAGAGGAGAUUGAGAGGAGAAGGGCUGAGGCCGCUGAGAAGAGACAGAAGGUGGACGAUCCCGUGGACGGCGAGGAGAAACCAUUCAAGUGUGUCAGUCCUCGAGGCUCUUCUCUGAAGAUUGGAGAAAGAGCAGAAUUCCUGAACAAGUCUGCACAGAAAAGCACUGUGAAGGCCUCUCAUUCUCCUGUGGUGUCCAAGAUAGACAACAGGCUGGAGCAGUACACCUCAGCUGCUCAGCGAGAGAACAAGGAAUCCAGAUCCCCUCGCUCCACCGUUUUGGACCUUCCCAUGGUCACUGAUGUGCGAAACAUUAAGAGCAUGUGGGAGAAAGGCAACGUGUUUAGCUCGCCCGGAAGUGGCGGAAGCACUUUUAAGGAAGCAGCUGUGAUAAAGACGGGCGUGGCGGGCCGCAUCAACGACUGGCUGAAUAAAACCCCAGAGAGCAGCAAGACGUCAGGAGGAAGGCCAACGGACCUGAAACCCGUUGAUGUCACCAACAAGAGGAGUCUAUGGGAAAACAAAGGCGCCACUCCAACAAAGAACUCUCACAGCUAGUUGACCUCGGCAUUCGAUCUGGAAUAAGCCUGCAGAGAUGGCAGGCAGAGGAGAGGCCAAAUCAGUUGCUAACGGUAUGGGACACUAAUGUCUUGACGGAGCCACUAAAAAUGGGGACCGCGACAAUCCAAGAUUCUACCUUUUGAACAGUUUUUCCUUUUUAUCUCCCUAUAAACCAAAUGAAAUACAGAUCCUUACGAGGGGACCACAAAGAUCCUGACCUCGCACUGUACUGAAACACCACCAUUGUUUUUUCUUUGCCAAUCUUAGUACUUUUGCACAAUGGGUUAGGCUUUGACAAUAAUGAAAAAAAUGCUGUGAAAUUUGGACAUUUUAGAACCUAAAAAAA